GGGGAAUUCAGUCUUCAGUUUGGUGGUGUCCAAUUCGUUGUUGCUCCUCGGAGCAACAAUCACCUUAGCUUGCUCCUCCAGGGUGAAAUUCUUCCACGAAAAAUUUGGAUCAACAUAAUCUUUGUACAUUUGUAAGACCUCAUUGUGGCUCACCACACCAGGGUUGGUAAAGUUCCAUAUCCCUGUGAGGUUCCUCUUUGCCAUUUCGAUGGAUAUAGGCAGAAGCUCAUCCAAGAUUGUCAUAGAAUUGGGGAUGUCGACAACCUUCUCGUACCGGGUGAUUUUGGUGAUGAAGUUCCGAGGAUUCUGGAGGUCAGAUGAGAUGGGCAUACGAACACGGAGGUUGCAGACAUUGUCGAAGUUUUUCAGCAGCUCCUCGACCUUGGCUUUGCAAUUGGAAUAGAAAGAUCCAACAAAAUUCGGAGUAUCCUCCUCCUUGAACCCAAUUCCAGAUCCGAGCGGAUGCGCCUCAUCAAACUCAAAAAUACACCCGGUAGCAUAAUUGAUCAUAAUCAGCCCCCUCUCCCGGCACACAUCGGCGAGCGUAAGCGUCCCGACGACAUUCGCCCUAAUCGUCUCCACCCGGUGGCUCUCGCACCAGUCCACAUUCGGCCGGCCGGUCACGCCGGCAGCGUUGAACACGUGCGACGGCGCCGCCGCCGCCAGAUCCGCCACCAGGCUCGCCCGAUCCUCCAGCCGCCCGGCGCCGUAGACGUACGGGAUCCCCUGCUUCUCGCAGAGCUUGCCGAGCAGGCCGCCGAGCCAGCCGGUUCGGCCGUAGAUCAGGAACUUGAGACCGGCGUCGGCGGAGGCGGCGGCGGCGGUGCCGUUCAGAGUGGGGCCCAUCGGUGACGGCGGAGGAGAUCGGAUCUCGAUGGAGCGGAUCUGG
rnacentral:misc_RNA from 1 species